rnacentral:lncRNA from 1 species
UUAAAUACGACAUAUUUUGGUGUAAAACAGAUACCACUAAUUUUAGCAAUAUAUUGGAAAUAAAAACCAAUUAGUACAAUACGUAAGGACUGGGAAAUGAGGAAGCAUACAUGUCGUGCACCCUUAAAGAUGCUGAUUACUAGGAAUUUCACAGGGCAUCAUUUAUCUUCUGUUGAUCGAGGUAUGACUCUUUUAUACGUCACCUUGAUUUAUUAUUUAGUUUAAAUUUUAUACAUCAAGGGUGUAAGACUUUAUUAAUUACACAAUCAGAUCAUAUAAAAAAGAAUUGCAGAUAACUUUACUUAACAAUAUUGAUAAUAAUUUAAAACAAAUAGUAAGUGACCGAUUAUAACAGUAAAUUACAAAGAUAGUGUAAAGUUUUAUUACACUGUAAGUAUAUAUAGAUUAUUAAUAUGAUAUAAUUUGAACAUUUAAAGUGUAUAAAUAAUAAUAAAUUUUGAACUUAUAAUUUAAAAAAAGUGAUGAAGUUUCUGAAUCUGUCUCUAGUUCUGCUAAGGGAACAAUCACAUUAGACAUCAGUGCCUAUCAUGCCCGCCCUUUAAAAGUUUUUUUUUUGUUUCUUUUCAAAAGGGAAACAACAACAACUAUCCGUAAAAUUCCACAAACGGGAUCUGAGGAGUGUAGUGUAGAGAGGCCGGAAAGAGAAACAAAGCAACACAGAAAAAAUAAAGCUAGCACAAAAUCAAGUAAGGAAAUGAAAUCCAGUAACACCUUCCACAACUUGCGAAAAAAUACUAGAAGUCAGAAGUGUAUGCCAUUCAAAACUAGUUUUGGAGACAUUUAGCUAUGGUUCGACCAUAGAUUUCAAUAUAAAAAAAAUAAAUUUGUUCAUGGAAUAUGGUUAAUUUUGAAAAAAAAAUCUCAAAUUCCCAAAAUCUGAUUUAGGACAGUUUUUGGGUGAAAUCUUGUGCGAAUUUGGGUAACGGCUACAAGAGAGAAAUAGAAAGGAAACUGUACCCGAAUAAGGAUGGACGUAAACUCGUAAGCUACCGAAGGUAGGGAUAAUCGUCUAGAUCUUAUUGUGAAAUAAAAAAGCCGUCCCGUCACAACAGACAGGUUGCUUCCUCUAUCGUCGCCCGGGGAGCUCUUGGCGAGGAUCUUAGGAUAAGUCGCUAAAACAAAUGGGAUGGGAGGAUCUACCCAUUCAGAUAAUUCCGAAGAUAGACCGUUGGCAGCAGGUAGAGAGAUUUUUUUUCUAAAAGUUUUUUCAAAUAAAAUUAAUAUCUAAACACAAAUUCAACUUUCAAAAAUACAGCUUCAAAAACUUAUUUUUUAAGUUUCAACCAAAUCUAAGGUCCAAAUACAAACUUACUCUUACGUAAAUGGGAACAUGCAAAACACACAUAGGAAAUAUAGUUAAAUGUUGCAAGGAACAUACCAGCAAGCUAGUGAAACGAGGAUGCUUAAGCAAAGUAUGCUCCAACUUCUCCUUCACAGGAUGUGGUGAAAUCCGAGUUUUUGUGGCCAUAAUAGCAACGACAUGGACAUUAAAAUUUGGAUCGUGAAACAAACGAGCAGUUGGACUCAAUGGUUCUGUUUCCACAGGCACCAUAUCGUACUCUUCAAUGGCUUUCCUCUUUGUAUC